CUGAUCGUUGCCUAGCACCGCUCAGCUGAUAAUCAGCGCUCCAGGCUCUCCUCAUUGGGUUUUGCUGGUGGCGAGUGGCUGGUUGUCUUCCUUGUGCAGCUACUAGAAGCUUCCUGUUUACAUCUAUGAUGAUGUUUGAUCCGCUCUGUUGAUGUUUAUUAUGGACAUUUAUUCGGCGCUGCCGACCCAUCUGUCUUCUGAUUAUUCCUCUUCACGGAUCAUCUGCACUUUCAGCCAUUUAUCCAUUUACCUGUUGUUUUUUGUGAUAUCUUCAUUAAAUACUGUUAUUUUUACUUGCAA